CCUCUGCGCGAGCCUGACGCAGCCAUGCCGCGUGAAUGAUGAAGGUCUUAGGAUUGUAAAAUUCUUUCACCGGGGACGAUAAUGACGGUACCCGGAGAAGAAGCCCCGGCUAACUUCGUGCCAGCAGCCGCGGUAAUACGAAGGGGGCUAGCGUUGCUCGGAAUUACUGGGCGUAAAGGGAGCGUAGGCGGACAUUUAAGUCAGGGGUGAAAUCCCGGGGCUCAACCUCGGAAUUGCCUUUGAUACUGGGUGUCUUGAGUAUGAGAGAGGUGUGUGGAACUCCGAGUGUAGAGGUGAAAUUCGUAGAUAUUCGGAAGAACACCAGUGGCGAAGGCGACACACUGGCUCAUUACUGACGCUGAGGCUCGAAAGCGUGGGGAGCAAACAGGAUUAGAUACCCUGGUAGUCCACGCCGUAAACGAUGAUUGCUAGUUGUCGGGAUGCAUGCAUUUCGGUGACGCAGCUAACGCAUUAAGCAAUCCGCCUGGGGAGUACGGUCGCAAGAUUAAAACUCAAAAAAAAUUGACGGAUUGAAACUCAAAGAAUUGACGG
rnacentral:rRNA from 1 species